rnacentral:rRNA from 1 species
AGCAGCCGCGGUAAUACGGAGGAUCCAAGCGUUAUCCGGAAUCAUUGGGUUUAAAGGGUCCGUAGGUGGAUAAUUAAGUCAGAGGUGAAAUCCUGCAGCUCAACUGUAGAAUUGCCUUUGAUACUGGUUAUCUUGAGUCAUUAUGAAGUGGUUAGAAUAUGUAGUGUAGCGGUGAAAUGCAUAGAUAUUACAUAGAAUACCAAUUGCGAAGGCAGAUCACUAAUAAUGUACUGACACUGAUGGACGAAAGCGUGGGGAGCGAACAGGAUUAGAUACCCUGGUAG